rnacentral:misc_RNA from 1 species
CACUGAAAACCCUUUGUGUGCGUCAAACACUGUGUCGUGUCUCAUUGAAAUAAGACCAUGAUUUUCAGUGCAUGACACCAGGAAGUUUCCCGUGUAUACGUCCCUGGGUACUGAUCCCCGCAUCCGAAGGGAGAAAGGACAGUCUACACGUAUCCUUGACUCCGGCUAACUCAGCCUGGAAACUCAGAUGAACGAAGAUUCCUGUACACAUGAUAGAGAUAAGUUUAGUCCCUCUGUGAAAACUGUCUCCAUCAAGUGAGGAUAUAGACAUGGCCACCCUUCUCAGCCUUGCUCUGUUUAUCGGGGUAUUUCACAGCUCGGAUGGAAUCCUAUGCUAUGUCUGCGGCGCGGCUGGAGGAGAGGGGGAGUGUAUUUCUGGGUUCAGUUCCUUCGUGAAUGUCUACAAACUUAUAAAGAACAACAACACUAAGCACGUCAACGACCGUGGCAGCCGCUCUCCUGGUUACGUGGACUGUGCCACCUUCCCCAAAAAACCUAUGUGCAUGAUUGAAGAAAUUCGAGAGAGUAAAACCAGAAAGAUCCUCAGUUACAUCCGGGGCUGUUCAGAUGGCAAGACCUUCUCGUUUGACCUUGCGCCUUUGAAAGGCCUGGGCCCCUCAAACUCCUCGACCUGUGGGUUUGAGACCCGGGGGUUCCAGGCCUGUGUCACCCUCUGCGACUCUGUCGACCUAUGUAACGGACCAUCAGGAGCCAACAGAUCACACCUUAGUAUGGCGCUGUUUGUCAUUUGUCUCGUCGUCCUAAAGAGCACACUUCAGGCGUUUUAGUAAGACGAUUGGACAUUUCACUUGAUGAGAAUGUCAAAUGGCUUGACUAACCGGGACAAACCAAAAAAAAUCUCAAUUUCACAACCUCACAUGUAUGUAUCCCAAAGUGGCUUACAUACAUACCAAAGAACAACUGAAGUCCUCGGAUCAGUUGACAGCCCUUGCAAGUUGGAAUCAGGUCGCUCAAAGCCAUUUGUUUGUCUACUAAAUCCAACUGCUAUGAUUAUGAUAACUCCUGCUGUGAUGAAGAUCAUUCCAGCAGUUAAUCAUCAUUACCAUAAUUAUCAAUUUAUUAUUACAUAUCCGUCAAUCUCUAGAUCUCGGUUGGUUCUGGGCACGAGGUCGUUGAGCAUAGCCUCUCUCUUAAAUUCAUGCUGAUGUUUAACAUCAGUUUUAUUGUAGUGGAGUUUGGAAUAGCCUGCUAUUUCAGAUUGCCGAUCGUGACAGAAAUACCUUAGUCAUCACAAAUAUGAAAUGGAACCGACGCAUUUUUAACUGCAUUUUAAUAAUGCCAUGAAACCGAGGCAUUUCAAAACAUUUCUACUUAAAAUAUAUAUGAAUACAUAUUUCCAUCGGUUGUUCUCAGUGAUUCGGAGGAACCAGUGAUAGAAGCGGUGAGACUAUAAACAGAUCCGCCAUAUCUCACUGUCGAAAUGAACUAUCCUCUAUUUGUUAAAAUUAAGAAUGUAUGGCGCAAAAAAUCACAAGAUUUUAAUCAUGGUUUCUUUUGUAAAUUACUCCAUCAGCCAACUGUAGGUACUUUUAAUAAUAGACAUAUAUUUAAUUAUGGGGGAAAUCUGACUCCAAAGCGGAAAAUUGGCUAUAUAGUGUAUUUUCCGGGUGGGAAAUAUGGCCAUAUAGUGUGCUUUCCGUGGGAAGUAUGGCUAUAUAGCCAGUUUUCCGGGGGAAUUUGGCUAUAUAGCCCUUUUUCCGGGGGAAAUUCCCCUCUCUGACACCGGCACAGACAACAGUUUUUUUCAGUAAAUUGAACAGUGUUUCAUCGCGAAUUGCUGUACCGGCACAGAAAACAGGGUUUUUUCAGUAAAUUGAACAGUGUUUCAUCGCGAAUUGCUGUACCGGCACAGACAACAGGGUUUUUUCAGUAAAUUGAACAGUGUUUCAUCGCGAAUUGCUGUACCGGCACAGAAAACAGGGUUUUUUCAGUAAAUUGAACAGUGUUUCAUCGCGAAUUGCUGUACCGGCACAGACAACAGUUUUUUUUUGUAAAUAUAACAAUGUUUUAUCCGGAACAGUUUAUUGGCACAGAGGACAGAAUUCCUGUAAAGUUUUACAGUGCUUCAUGUAUUUGUGAUUCAUGUCAAAUGUUUAUAUCAAAAACAGAUGUGAUUACUGUGUGAUUUGGCGGGUUUCGUUUGUUGACUUUCAGUCAUGUUAUUUAUCUGAUCACAACAGUGUGAGAUAUAUUGAAAUGAUUAAUACAGUAAAUAAAACAUACACGUACAUGGUAUUUUUUUUUUAAAAGAAUAUAUGUUUGUAUUGCUUAGUAUAUUGUUAAGAAUGUCAGUUUAUACAUAGUUACAAAAUGUAUUGUAUAAUUAUUCUUAUAAUAGUAGUCAGGCGAGUUAACGUAUAUAGAGUUACCUCCCUUCGGUGCUUCAAUUGUUCAUGUUCCUUCAGGUUAUGGAUAAACCUUGCUCUUGAA